UCAAACUUGGUCAUUUAGAGGAAGUAAAAGUCGUAACAAGGUUUCCGUAGGUGAACCUGCGGAAGGAUCAUCAUAGGAUGCAGUAUAUUUCCAAGCUUUGAAGGGGGGGGAGGGUGUUUCCCUUGUUCUUCUGGCUUGCAAACAACUUUUGAUACCCAAACAGAGUUUCUUCGCCUCUCCGGUUCCAUUUAUUUGGGCUGGGAAGAGAGAAGGAGAAGCAGAAUUAACACACGUGGUUGCCUGAUAAAAAAGAGUUUGGUUUUUGGGAAUGAAAUUAAAACAACUUUCAACAGCGGAUCUCUUGGCUCUCACAUCGAUGAAGAACGCAGC
rnacentral:misc_RNA from 1 species